rnacentral:rRNA from 1 species
AGAGUUUGAUCCUGGCUCAGAGCGAACGCUGGCGGCAGGCUUAACACAUGCAAGUCGAGCGGGCGUAGCAAUACGUCAGCGGCAGACGGGUGAGUAACGCGUGGGAACGUACCUUUUGGUUCGGAACAACACAGGGAGACUUGUGCUAAUACCGGAUAAGCCCUUACGGGGAAAGAUUUAUCGCCGAAAGAUCGGCCCGCGUCUGAUUAGCUAGUUGGUGAGGUAAUGGCUCACCAAGGCGACGAUCAGUAGCUGGUCUGAGAGGAUGAUCAGCCACAUUGGGACUGAGACACGGCCCAAACUCCUACGGGAGGCAGCAAUGGGGAAUAUUGGACAAUGGGCGCAAGCCUGAUCCAGCCAUGCCGCGUGAGUGAUGAAGGCCCUAGGGUUGUAAAGCUCUUUUGUGCGGGAAGAUAAUGACGGUACCGCAAGAAUAAGCCCCGGCUAACUUCGUGCCAGCAGCCGCGGUAAUACGAAGGGGGCUAGCGUUGCUCGGAAUCACUGGGCGUAAAGGGUGCGUAGGCGGGUCUUUAAGUCAGGGGUGAAAUCCUGGAGCUCAACUCCAGAACUGCCUUUGAUACUGAGGAUCUUGAGUUCGGGAGAGGUGAGUGGAACUGCGAGUGUAGAGGUGAAAUUCGUAGAUAUUCGCAAGAACACCAGUGGCGAAGGCGGCUCACUGGCCCGAUACUGACGCUGAGGCACGAAAGCGUGGGGAGCAAACAGGAUUAGAUACCCUAGUAGUCC